rnacentral:rRNA from 1 species
AUUGAACGCUGGCGGCAUGCCUUACACAUGCAAGUCGAACGGCAGCACGGGUGCUUGCACCUGGUGGCGAGUGGCGAACGGGUGAGUAAUACAUCGGAACGUACCUUAUCGUGGGGGAUAACGCAGCGAAAGUUGCGCUAAUACCGCAUACGCCCUGAGGGGGAAAGCGGGGGACCGUAAGGCCUCGCGCGAUUAGAGCAGCCGAUGUCUGAUUAGCUUGUCGGUGAGGUAAAAGCUCACCAAGGCGAUGAUCAGUAGCUGGUCUGAGAGGACGAUCAGCCACACUGGGACUGAGACACGGCCCAGACUCCUACGGGAGGCAGCAGUGGGGAAUUUUGGACAAUGGGGGCAACCCUGAUCCAGCAAUGCCGCGUGAGUGAAGAAGGCCUUCGGGUUGUAAAGCUCUUUUGUCAGGGAAGAAACAGCAGCUCUAACACAGUCUGCGAAUGACGGUACCUGAAGAAUAAGCACCGGCUAACUACGUGCCAGCAGCCGCCGUAA